GACGAACGCUGGCGGCGUGCCUAAUACAUGCAAGUCGAGCGAAUCGGCAGAUGGGUGAGUAACGCGUGGGUAACCUGCCUUUAAGUCUGGGAUACCAUUUGGAACCAGAUGCUAAUACCGGAUACUAAAGGAUGGACCUGCGAUGCAUUAGCCAGUUGGUAAGGUAACGGCUUACCAAGGCGACGAUGCAGAGCCGGGUUGAGAGGCUGAACAGCCACAUUGGAACUGAGACACGGCCCAGACUCCUACGGGAGGCAGCAGUAGGGAAUCUUGCACAAUGGACGAAAGUCUGAUGGAGCAACGCCGCGUGAGUGAAGAAGGUUUUCGGGUCGUAAAGCUCUGUUGGUGGGGAAGCGGUAAUCAACCAGAAAGCCACGGCUAACUACGUGCCAGCAGCCGCGGUAAUAC
rnacentral:rRNA from 1 species